rnacentral:rRNA from 1 species
AGCGAACGCUGGCGGCAGGCCUAACACAUGCAAGUCGAACGAAGUCUUCGGACUUAGUGGCGGACGGGUGAGUAACACGUGGGAACGUGCCUUUAGGUUCGGAAUAACUCAGGGAAACUUGUGCUAAUACCGAAUGUGCCCUUCGGGGGAAAGAUUUACCGCCUUUAGAGCGGCCCGCGUCUGAUUAGCUAGUUGGUGAGGUAAAGGCUCACCAAGGCGACGAUCAGUAGCUGGUCUGAGAGGAUGAUCAGCCACAUUGGGACUGAGACACGGCCCAAACUCCUACGGGAGGCAGCAGUGGGGAAUCUUGCGCAAUGGGCGAAAGCCUGACGCAGCCAUGCCGCGUGAAUGAUGAAGGUCUUAGGAUUGUAAAAUUCUUUCACCGGGGACGAUAAUGACGGUACCCGGAGAAGAAGCCCCGGCUAACUUCGUGCCAGCAGCCGCUGUAA